ACGGCAGAUAGGACUUAUGUUACCGGUACGUUCACCUUGUGAGAUUUUGCGCUGGUAUUGAUGAAUUAAUGAUGAAUAGUACAUUAACAUAAUAAUGUACCGUACCCGUCAUUUUUAAGGAAUUUCUGAGAUUCAUAAAAUAGGAAAAGAUCUAUCCACCAUCUCUUCUUCAGCCUCCUUUCGUCGUAGCGUGACAGUUUGAGACGAAAGAAAAUCACUUCCACUUUUCGCGAUCAGCAGAUGGCCGGAUAUCAAGAGAGAGAGAGGCCGGUCCACUCCUCCAUAGAAACUGUUUCUUUAAUGCUGCAAGUGUGGUUCUAAAUCUCUAAGCGAUAUAGGCUACACAUUCAUUCCAAUGCAUAGUCAUGACGAACUUAACAAGCAAUGCAAGAUAAUUCUAUGUUCCAUUUACAGGCAGCAGCAAAUUUCACUAUUGCAUCUUUUGGUUAAAGUCAAGGGAUUUUAAAAAGAAAAGAUUCCACUUGAUAUUUAUACAAUUUUUCAGAAAAAAUCAAGCUAAUUUUUUUAAAGCCUGUAUGAAAUUUAUAAGAAAUGGAUUUGUCAUAACAUUAAACAAUGCUUUCAAAUAUAUCCACUACUGACAUGGCAUUUAAGAACUGAAUUGUUGAAUAUUAAAACAAAACUGAUGUUAAAGGACAGUAUAUCACAAUGUGAUACAUAUAUGAAGCACCUACGGAGGAGUUCACAAAAUGAUACAGUGUUACCUAAACGAAAAACAUUAAUCUAUAACUCUAACCAGUCUCGAAAGAGAAUUGUUUAGAAUUCAAUUGUCCAUAAUCCUCCAAUUACUUGUUGGCCAAAUAAAUAUUUUGGCUCCUAAGGUAAUUUUCUUGACUUUAAAUCGGGCAUGUAAUUUUGACAAAGCUUAUAUCUACUCAUUCUGUCUAUCUGCCUGUCUGGUACACGUUAUUCCUCCCACAACCAUUCUCGGAUCAAGCCGAAACUUCGCACAAGUAUCCAUUGGCAUAGACAGGAAAGAAAACUAAUCCUUCAGUAUUCACAGACAUGGCUAAAUUUGUUGGGUUUAGUCCCCUUACAUAAUUGUUAACGCUGCUUCUCCUACACGCAUUCUCCGAUCAAGUUGAUACUUUAAACAAUUAUUUAUUGUAUCUAACAAAAUAUGAAAACAAAAUCGAAUAAGUUAUUUUGUUAGAUGUUGAAUAAGGGAAAUAACUUGUAAAUUAUUGAAAGUUUUAAGGAAGGAGUUCUUAUCUUUUAGAAAAGCUUUGUAUUUUUUUAAAGGAUCUUCAUAUAUAAUUCUCUUCAUGGCUCAACAGUUUGGACACCAAGAAGUAAAGAAAAGAUCAAAUUUUUAUUUCUACAAGUCGGACUAGAGUUACCCCACGAAUAUGUCAGGAGAUUUCAAUGAGUUUUCAAAAGAUUUUAAUAAUUUCGGAGAUUUCCAGGACUUUUUCGUAUAUUUUGCAAUUUCAGAUUUCCAGGACUUCCUGGUAAAUCAGGAAAUGUUAUAAGUUUGAAAAUGGUUUAAUUUAAUAAUUUACACCUAGAAUUAGCGCGAGUCCAAUGAAAGUGCGGGGCCCACUUGGGUCGCAUAGGUUGCCUUCGCCUAAGGCCGGCCCUGCAAAAUAGCGACGAAUGCUACGCCAUGGGUGAACUAGUUUUUUAAAAAUAUUUUGCUUGUUUUUACAAUAACAUUUUUACGUUCACCAAUCUCUAGACCUAACGGGUAUCUAACAAUACCUGAUAGAGCAGUAAAAAGAUUUUAUGCUUGCAGCAUGAAACCAUAACUAUCAAGUGGCCAUAUAAUACCUUACUAGGAGACCUGUGACACACCAACCAAUGUCCACAGAAAUAUGCAUAAUUUGCAUUUGUUCAAAACCUCUUAUUUUGUAAAAUACAGACGUAACUUCAAAGAAAGAAGAUGAUUACGUCCCACGGGUCUCCCUAGGUCAAUCUAGUCAUGCAUGUUAAUCUAUGACUUAAACUCUGCCAAGUCGUUGUUUUCCUGGCUGACUCAAGGCAACCCAUUCAAUGCUCUAAUUGCACUAGAGAAGAAGGACCAUUUAUACAAAUUUGUCCUAGCAUAUGGAACAAGAAGUGUCAGUGUGCCUUUAUCUUUGUGUCUUUCUGAGUAUUUCAUUAGGGUUUGUUUUUGUAUUUGAAGAUAAUGGUUCAUUGUUUUGUGUAUAAUUGCUACUUUAUUUUUAAAGUCUUCUAUCCUGAAGGGUCUCUAAAUUUAAUGACUUCACUAAAGGUGUGUUACUCAAAAAGGGAUGUGCAGUAACUAACUAGAGCCCAAUGCACCAACUGAAUUUUUUUUCUUAUACAAUUACUGUAUUUUAAAAAAAAUGUUUAAAUAUAGUUUAAUGCACAAGAUUUAUAAUUAAAUGCAAAAAUAAAUGAAAACACAAAACUCUGCACACUCUCAUUGAACAGUUCGUGUAUUCUUUAUUUCAAAUGAAGACACAGUACAUUACAAACGAAAAAAAGUCUUUGAAGAUCAUUUAAAAUUGGAACAAAUUUGAUUAAUGGUGUACUUGUAAGUUAGGAUAUGGAAACAGACAUUUCAAUGAACAAACAAAACAAAAUGAGAGAGAAAAUAUAAAUCAAAGAACAGUUACACAUUACUUGGCUAAAAAAAAAAAUAAUGAGUAGUGAACAUGAUUGGAUUGAAUGUCUUCAUGGGGCAGUCUCACAGCUAUGAAGUAAUAACCUGUACACUAGCACUCCCAACACCAGACACACGUGACACAUCACAAGUGGAUUCUUCAGCAGUUCAGUAAACACUUUCACUUCCAUUUGGUCUCCUUUACAGCAUGUCUUUCAAAUGAACACAAAGUGGGCAAGCAAAAGGGGAAAUAAUUCUAUGUAUAAUUAACAACUUUUUUUUUGUUGUCCUACCCAUAACUUUAUUUUUUUGAAUAAAUGUUGAAUUUGAACUAAAUGUUAAUUCUAAAAGUUGUUACAAUCUAGAAAACUUUUGGUCUUUUGUACAAUACAAAAGUUGGGUAACUGAUAAUGGUUUAAUAUUAUCUGGAAGCAAUUUCUAGUAACUUUGAAUGGUGAAAAUCUGAAAUUAAACAACAAGGUUCUGACAUUUUAAAAUAGCUGAGGUCAUGGAAAAGUAACAUUGGAAUGAAAAAUGAAGAUGGUCAUAGUUCCUUUAUAGACAGAAGCAUAAAAAGAAAUUUUCAAGAAUCUUGAAUGAAAAUUUCACUUUGAAAACUAAAUGAUCUAGUAGAUUUUCUGUUCUAUUAUUUGGUCAAAAUCUUUAAAAUAUACAUCCCUUAUUUAUAUUGAUUUACUUAAAAGAGAAAGCUUUGAUGAUCAAUCUGUGGGCUUAUUCACAUUUUUAUUAACCUUUUUGGGCAUAACGUGUGGAUGUCAACCUUUGCUGUUUCAAAACAGUACAAAAACCUAAUCUACUAGCAACAGUGGUUCCUGUUUUGAGACUCAGAAAUAAGAAAUUAAUCUGUUCAGUGAAUAAAUAUCCUUAUUUUAAACAAAUGAUAACUCCAUUACCAAAGGAUUAUGAGCCCUUACUUAGUUAUUUCAGUUACAAAAUUUCCAUAAUGACAAAGUUAGUCAUAUCAGUUAAAUCCCUUAUUAUGAUUACACAGUCAGCAAUACUACACAUAAUCCAGAAAAUAUUUGUUCAGUUUUCAUAUCUAAAAAAGUAUCAAGCACUAAAACACAACUAAGCACAGCAUUAUUUUUAGUACACUGAGCAAAAACUCAGUCAGUAAACUUCAUUUAGUGGAGGCGCAAACCAAAAAGACUAGUUCUUGAUGCUAAGAGUUAUCAUCGUGGAAGUUAUCAAAGCUAUAGCAAUUUUACUUUAGAUUUGUUACACAAUGACUUUUAAAAAUGUUAUUAUUGAGAAUCAUUACACACUGCCAAAGUGAGUUAUAUACUUUUUGUAAAGAAUCAUUAUACUUUUUACUUGACUACAAUUAGUAGGCCUAAUACAAUAAUGAAACUUAGUUGAGAGGUGAUCGCGUUUUUGU